rnacentral:rRNA from 1 species
AGGUAACCUACCCUCAGGACUGAGAUAACCCCGGGAAACUGGGGCUAAUAUUAGAUAGAUAAAAGAUACUGGAAUGUUCUUUUAUCCAAAGCUUUUGCGCCUGAGGAUGGGCCUGCGUCCGAUUAGGUUGUUGGUGGGGUAAUGGCCCACCAAGCCUACGAUCGGUACGGGCAGUGGGAGCUGAAGCCCGGAGUUGGGGACUGAGACAAGGCCCCAGGCCCUACGGGGCGCAGCAGGCGCGAAACCUCUGCAAUGCGGGAAACCGUGACAGGGGGAUCCCAAGUGCUCAUGCAUUGCAUGGGCUGUUCUUUGGUCUAAGUAACCAGAGGAGUAAGGGCUGGGCAAGACCGGUGCCAGCCGCCGCGGUAAUACCGGCAGCUCAAGUGGUAGCCGCGAUUAUUGGGCCUAAAACGUUCGUAGCCGGAUAAGUAAGUCUUUGGUUAAAUCCUGCGACUUAACCGUGGGAAAUCUAGAGAUACUGCUUGUCUUGAGACCGGGAGAGGUUGGAGGUACUCCUAGGGUAGGAGUGAAAUCCUGUAAUCCUAGGGGGACCACCUGUGGCGAAGGCGUCCAACUGGAACGGGUCUGACGGUGAGGGACGAAACCUGGGGGAGCGAGCCGGAUUAGAUACCCGGGUAGUCCUAGGCGUAAAUGAUGCGAGUUAAGUGUGGGGGCAUCUACGAGAUGGCCCUGUGCUGUAGGGUAGCCGUUAAACUCGCUGCCUGGGGAGUACGGUCGCAAGGCCGAAACUUAA